AUUUAAUCUCUCUCGAACAGUCUACUGCGUUAGAUCAUCUUUUAUUUUUUAUGCAACGCGAAGAUCCAUACCUACUCUCCCCCCACAAAACUUUCCAGAGAUGGAUUGGUGCCUUCGGGAACUAUGAGACAGGUGCUGCAUGGCUGUCGUCAGCUCGUGUUGUGAAAUGUUGGGUUAAGUCCCGCAACGAGCGCAACCCUUAUCCUUUGUUGCCAGCGGUUCGGCCGGGAACUCAAAGGAGACUGCCAGUGAUAAACUGGAGGAAGGUGGGGAUGACGUCAAGUCAUCAUGGCCCUUACGAGUAGGGCUACACACGUGCUACAAUGGCAUAUACAAAGAGAAGCGACCUCGCGAGAGCAAGCGGACCUCAUAAAGUAUGUCGUAGUCCGGAUUGGAGUCUGCAACUCGACUCCAUGAAGUCGGAAUCGCUAGUAAUCGUAGAUCAGAAUGCUACGGGGAAUACGUUCCCCGGUCCUUGUCCCCACCGCCCGUCCACACAAGGGGAGUGGGUUGCAACAAGAAGUAGGUAGCUUAACCUUACGGGAGGGCGCCUUACCCACUUUGAUUAA
rnacentral:rRNA from 1 species